GUGAAAUACGGGACGGCGUGCCUUUUUGUUCCUGUGACUUCCAGGCUGCGGGCAAAGAGUGUCGGAUGCUCUCCUUCCGGAGCUGGGUAAUUUUUAAAGAUGAGUACACUGGCAAGAUUCCACAAGUAUUUUUCACCUCUGUCAUCAGCAAUUAUCAAAUGAUAAAAGAAGAAAAGAAGAAGAAAAAAGAAGCAGCAGCAAAGAUGACUUACCAUAAAUCUUGUGGUGCAACUGAUGGCUUGGACUAUUACAUCAAGAAUAACACCAAACUGAUUUGUCAGUCACGAGAAGAAGGUGAAAAACACCCCUUCCUGCAUGAAGAAGGAUGUAUCAGUUUGAAAACUUCUAGCAAACAAAUCUGUUUCCAUUUAAAAAAAAUCAAGAAGCAGUUCUCUUUUUUCUAAAAAUGGGUCAUCAGAUGUUACAUUUCUAACUCUGUGAGAUGUGUAGAGAUGUUGAAAUUGUGGAGGAUCCUCCUAGGAACUGAAUUCAAGGUUUCACAACUCACAGCUGUAGUUUCAUAAAAAGGUUUUUAUCUC